rnacentral:rRNA from 1 species
AGAGAGAGACAUGCGCGCAUAUCAAUAAGCGGAGGAAAAGAAACUAACAAGGAUUCCCUUAGUAACGGCGAGUGAAGCGGGAAGAGCUCAAAUUUGAAAUCUUCAAGGUUUUACCUUGACGAAUUGUAGUUUAAAGAAGUGUUUUCUGCUGAAGUUUUGGUAAAAGUUCUUUGGAAUAGGACAUCAUAGAGGGUGAGAAUCCCGUAUUUGACCAUUAUUUUCAGCUUUGUGAUACACUUUCAAAGAGUCGGAUUGUUUGGGAAUGCAGUCCAAAAUGGGUGGUAAAUUUCAUCUAAAGCUAAAUAUUGGCGAGAGACCGAUAGCGAACAAGUACCGUGAGGGAAAGAUGAAAAGAACUUUGAAAAGAGAGUUAAACAGUACGUGAAAUUGUCAAAAGGGAAGCGUUUGACACCAGUGUUGUUUCCUCGAAAAUCAAUUAAAAAUGGCUCGAUUUUGUAUUGCUUGAGACCUUAAAAGCUCACUGUACAUUUUUCGUGUCUUUUUUAAUGCACUUUUCGUUUAACAAGUCAACAUCAGUUUCUUUUGUUGUAAAAGGGUCAUUGGAAGGUGGCUUUCUUUUCGGAGAAAGUGUUUAUAGCCUUUGGCCUCUGCAAUCGGAAGAGACUGAGGUCUGCAGCGUAGACUCUUCGGGGUUAGAUACAUUUGUGCUAAGUUAUAGCUUUUUAUAGACAACUUGUUGACUAUAAUUAGUCUUGUAGCUUACUCGCUUAUGCUAUUUUACCUACGCUUAGGAUGUUGAAGAUGUAGCACAUCAU